GACGAACGCUGGCGGCGUGCUUAACACAUGCAAGUCGAACGGAAAGGCCCUGCUUUUGUUGGGUGCUCGAUUGGCGAACGGGUGAGUAACACGUGAGUAACCUGCCCUUGACUUUGGGAUAACUUCAGGAAACUGGGGCUAAUACCGGAUAGGAGCUCCUGCUGCAUGGUGGGGGUUGGAAAGUUUCGGCGGUUGGGGAUGGACUCGCGGCUUAUCAGCUUGUUGGUGGGGUAGUGGCUUACCAAGGCUUUGACGGGUAGCCGGCCUGAGAGGGUGACCGGCCACAAUGGGACUGAGAUACGGCCCAGACUCGUACGGGAGGCAGCAGUGGGGAAUAUUGCACAAUGGGCGGAAGCCUGAUGCAGCAACGCCGCGUGCGGGAUGACGGCCUUCGGGUUGUAAACCGCUUUCGCCUGUGACGAAGCGUGAGUGACGGUAAUGGGUAAAGAAGCACCGGCUAACUACGUG
rnacentral:rRNA from 1 species